CGGGAAACUCGUUUCAAGAUGAGAUCUGCCGGGGCCUUGAGCCCCCUGAAGAGUCGUUCUAGACCAGGACGUUGAUAGGCUGGGUGUGGAAGAGCGGUAACGCUUUAAGCUAACCAGUACUAAUUGCUCGUGCGGCUUGACCCUAUAACUUUG
rnacentral:rRNA from 1 species